rnacentral:rRNA from 1 species
AGGGACAGAGGUCUGCAAACCCGCGAGGGUAAGCCAAUCCCAGAAACCUAUCUCAGUCCGGAUUGGAGUGUGCAACUCGACUCCAUGAAGUCGGAAUCGCUAGUAAUCGCAGAUCAGCAUUGCUGCGGUGAAUACGUUCCCGGGCCUUGUACACACCGCCCGUCACACCAUGGGAGUUUGUUGCACCAGAAGCAGGUAGCUUAACCUUCGGGAGGGCGCUUGCCACGGUGUGGCCGAUGACUGGGGGAAGUCGUAACAAG